GACGAACGCUGGCGGCGUGCUUAACACAUGCAAGUCGAACGGUAAGGCCCUUCGGGGUACACGAGUGGCGAACGGGUGAGUAACACGUGGGUGAUCUGCCCUGCACUUCGGGAUAAGCCUGGGAAACUGGGUCUAAUACCGGAUAGGACCACUGCCUGCAUGGGUGGUGGUGGAAAGCUUUUGCGGUGUGGGAUGGGGCCGGGGCCUAUCAGCUUGUUGGUGGGGUGAUGGCCUACCAAGGCGACGACGGGUAGCCGGCCGGAGAGGGUGACCGGCCACGCUGGGGCUGGGAUACGGCCCAGACUCCUACGGGAGGCAGCAGUGGGGAAUAUUGCACAAUGGGCGCAAGCCUGAUGCAGCGACGCCGCGUGAGGGAUGACGGCCUUCGGGUCGUAAACCUCUUUCAGCACCGACGAAGCGCAAGUGACGGUAGGUGCAGAAGAAGGACCGGCCAACUACGUGCCAGCCGCCGCCGUAA
rnacentral:rRNA from 1 species